GUGGGGAAUAUUGGGCAAUGGGGGAAACCCUGACCCAGCAACGCCGCGUGAAGGAAGAAGGCUUUCGGGUUGUAAACUUCUUUUACCGAGGACGAAGAACGUGACGGUACUCGGAGAAAAAGCCACGGCUAACUACGUGCCAGCAGCCGCGGUAAUACGUAGGUGGCAAGCGUUGUCCGGAUUUACUGGGUGUAAAGGGCGUGUAGGCGGAGAUGCAAGUCAGGAGUGAAAUCUCGGGGCUCAACCCCGAAACUGCUUUUGAAACUGUAUCCCUUGAGUAUCGGAGAGGCAGGCGGAAUUCCUAGUGUAGCGGUGAAAUGCGUAGAUAUUAGGAAGAACACCAGUGGCGAAGGCGGCCUGCUGGACGACAACUGACGCUGAGGCGCGAAAGCGUGGGGAGCAAACAGGAUUAGAAACCCUAGUAGUCC
rnacentral:rRNA from 1 species